rnacentral:lncRNA from 10 species
CCCGCUGCAGGUGGACAGGGCCUGCAGUGUUCUGCAGCUGCUCUUCUCCUGCCUCCCAAAUCCUGGCUGGCCUAUAACUUGCUUUGACUGAUGCAUUGCAGCACCCAGCAAUGUGCAAGGUCAGAGUCUGGGCCUCCAGGAACCUUGUGCAUCCACCAUGACCUUCUCGGAAUGCACUUGUGGCCUGUAAGGAAGCCCUGGAGGAGGCAAGCUGAGUCACGACUGCCCAUGUGAAGAAGGAGGGCCAGCACACACCACCAGGCCUGUGAGGCAGGCCCUGCAGACCUGUCCAGCGGGUGCCAGCUGGGUGCAGCCUCCCAAGCGAGCUCGAACAGCCCCCAGAGCCAGGAGACAGAAUGGAUCGUCCUGGUUGUAAGCCACCUAGUUUUGGUGUGGUUUGUUAUGUGGCGAGAUAACCGGCCCACCUCUCUGGUGGGAAAGUCCGGUGCAUAUAAAAGUGGUAAAGUUGGCUGGUUGCAACACAGACCACAUGUCCUGCAAAGCGAAACUCCUCACUAGCUGAUUCUUCACAGAAAAACCUUGCAUGGUCCUGUUCUACAGCAAGCCUUUCAAACGGCACCAUCUACAUCUGCGCCUGAGAGCUUGUUAUUUAGCAAUAAAGAUUGUUAAAAA